rnacentral:rRNA from 1 species
UGCAAGUCGACGGAUGCUUCGGCAUUUAGUGGCGGACGGGUGAGUAACGCGUGAGAAUCUACCCUUAGGACGGGGACAACGACUGGAAACGGUCGCUAAAACCCGAUGUGCCGAGAGGUGAAAUAUUUAUAGCCUGGGGAUGAGCUCGCGUCAGAUUAGCUAGUUGGGGAGGUAACGGCUCACCAAGGCGACGAUCUGUAGCUGGUCUGAGAGGAUGACCAGUCACACUGGAACUGAGACACGGUCCAGACUCCUACGGGAGGCAGCAGUGGGGAAUUUUCCGCAAUGGGCGCAAGCCUGACGGAGCAAGACCGCGUGGGGGAUGAAGGUUUGUGGAUUGUAAACCCCUUUUGUCAGGGAAGAAUAACGACGGUACCUGACGAAUAAGCCUCGGCUAACUCCGUGCCAGCAGCCGCGGUAAUACGGAGGAGGCAAGCGUUAUCCGGAAUUAUUGGGCGUAAAGCGUCCGCAGGUGGUUGGUCAAGUCUGCUGUCAAAGCGCGAGGCUCAACUUCGUAAAGGCAGUGGAAACUGACUCACUAGAGUGCGGUAGGGGUAGAGGGAAUUCCCAGUGUAGCGGUGAAAUGCGUAGAUAUUGGGAAGAACACCGGUGGCGAAGGCGCUCUACUGGACCUGCACUGACACUGAGGGACGAAAGCUAGGGGAGCGAAAGGGAUUAGAUACCCCUGUAGUCCUAGCUGUAAACGAUGGAUACUAGGUGUUGCCCGUAUCGACCCGGG